rnacentral:rRNA from 1 species
CCGCGGCCGCAGAGUUUGAUCAUGGCUCAGGACGAACGCUGGCGGCGUGCCUAAUACAUGCAAGUCGAGCGAACCUUUAAAAGCUUGCUUUUAAAGGUUAGCGGCGGACGGGAGAGUAACACGUGGGCAACCUACCUGUAAGACUGGGAUAACCUCGGGAAACCGGAGCUAAUACCGGAUAACUCUUUUCUACACAUGUAGAAAAGCUGAAAGACGGUUUCGGCUGUCACUUACAGAUGGGCCCGCGGCGCAUUAGCUAGUUGGUGAGGUAAUGGCUCACCAAGGCAACGAUGCGUAGCCGACCUGGGAGGGUGAUCGGCCUCACUGGGACUGAGACACGGCCCAGACUCCUACGGGAGGCAGCAGUAGGGAAUCUUCCGCAAUGGACGAAAGUCUGACGGAGCAACGCCGCGUGAGUGAUGAAGGUUUUCGGAUCGUAAAACUCUGUUGUUAGGGAAGAACAAGUACGAGAGUAACUGCUCGUACCUUGACGGUACCUAACCAGAAAGCCACGGCUAACUACGUGCCAGCAGCCGCGGUAAUACGUAGGUGGC